GCUAGAAUUCUCCCAUAAAGACCAUUUGCACAUCAACUAUUUGGCUACCUGAAAAGGAGCUUUUCAGCCACUGAGAAUUCAGAGCCUUUAAUGAUUCUGGAGACCUCUUAGGUGUGGGGACUAUCCCUAGCUUUGUGACUGAAGACUUGCCAGGUCCUGGAAGCAUCUGGGAAGUGUUUUGGUUGAGGAGAGUUGAAUGUUUGAAGAAGAAAAUAUCAGAGUGACAUUCCUGCUGCUGGCUCCCCUCUGAUGUACCGCCCUUGUGCUUUCUCCUACUGCACUUGCGAUCCAGCAGCCUACAAAGAACAUGUGCUUUCGAAUGAAAGCCCUGCUCCAGCACUCACUAGCUAGUUAACCUUAGGAGUAUUAUUUCAAAGCUCUUGGAGCCUCGGUUUUCCUCAUCUGUUAAAAUGGGACCAUAAAUACUUAACUCAG
rnacentral:lncRNA from 10 species